rnacentral:misc_RNA from 1 species
GAACGCAUCUUGCGCUCCUUGGUAUUCCGAGGAGCAUGCCUGUUUGAGUGUCAUUUCAUGUUCUCUCAACCAUACUCAUGUUGAGGGUAUGGCUUGGACGUGGGGGUUACAGGCCCUUAUUUGUGGUCUGCUCCCCUGAAAUACAUGAGUGGCAAAGCCCCUCCAUUAGGUGUGAUACUUAUCUGCAUCUAUGGGGAUCUGCUGGAUCAUAUGUUGUUGUUGUUGUUCUUGACCUCAAAUCAGGUAGGACCACCCGCUGAACUUAAG